GUUGAACGCUGGCGGCAUGCCUAACACAUGCAAGUCGAACGCGAAAGUCCCUUCGGGGGCGAGUAGAGUGGCGGACGGGUGAGUAACGCGUGGGAAUCUACCGCGUAGUGGGGGACAACCCGGGGAAACUCGGGCUAAUACCGCAUACGUCCUACGGGAGAAAGGGGGCCUCUGCUUGCAAGCUCCUGCUAGGCGAUGAGCCCACGUCCGAUUAGCUAGUUGGUGGGGUAAGGGCCUACCAAGGCGACGAUCGGUAGCUGGUCUGAGAGGAUGGCCAGCCACACUGGGACUGAGACACGGCCCAGACUCCUACGGGAGGCAGCAGUGGGGAAUAUUGGACAAUGGGCGCAAGCCUGAUCCAGCAAUGCCGCGUGUGUGAAGAAGGCCUGCGGGUUGUAAAGCACUUUCAGUGGGGAAGAAAAGCGGGGAGCUAAUACCGCCCUGUCUUGACGUUACCCACAGAAGAAGCACCGGCUAACUCCGUGCCAGCAGCCGCGGUAAUACGGAGGGUGCGAGCGUUAAUCGGAAUCACUGGGCGUAAAGCGCGCGUAGGCGGCCUGUUAAGUCAGAUGUGAAAGCCCUGGGCUUAACCUGGGAACUGCAUUUGAUACUG
rnacentral:rRNA from 1 species